rnacentral:miRNA from 2 species
UACCUCAUCGAUCAGAAGGAUUUCCUUCAGAUCAAUGAGGUACAACAACCUCAUCGACUGGAAGGAAUCCCUUCCCUUCCGGUUGAUGAGGUUGUUAUACCUCAUCGACCAGAAGGAUUUCCUUCAGAUCGAUGAGGUA